CAUCAUGCUGUUUGUUUAUUGCGAACCUUAAAAUACCUAAAUCUCCGUCUUUAUUUCAUACUACAUAUCCCAGGUAUCCACUUCACAAAACCUUUCCUCUUCACAAAUCAGUCAAAUUUACAUGCCAUAGCUGCCAAACAAAAUAUAUCAUCUACGGAAAAACUACAUUUUCACUACAAAUUACAAGCUACAACAGGAUUACGCCAUCCAUAUUCGUAGAAAUUAAGGAAAAAAAAUUUCGACAAACUAAAGUUUCCGGACCAAAAGAUAGACCAUAAAAUGUUUGAUCUACAAGUCAAAAGAAAACAAAAUUAUGCACAGAGAUUUAAAUCUAGUGGUGCAAAUUUGAGAUCAAAUUUUACCAUUUUUGAUCGAUUGGUGACUGAAGUCUGGUAGCGGAGAGGAAGAGAGCGGCUGCUGAACAGGAAGACGAACGACUGACUGACUAAAAGCCCUAAUUCUCCUGUUUUAGUUUCUGGGGAUAAUUUCAGAACCUCCCCUGAGGUUUAUAAUAAUUUCACUAGCCUCCCUAAAUUUUAUAAAAGUACACAUACCUCCGCCAAGGUUAAGCUUUACCUAACAAAUUGGUCCAAUUAGAAAAAGUAACAUUAAAAAAGUACUUUAAGGAGAGAGGUAAAACUUUUAUUUCAUAAAUACCCCUUAUGCAAAUAUAUAAAUUGAAUUAGUAAAAGAAUGAAAAUAAUUAAAAGUUAGAAAUAAUUAAUACACACAUUUCACUACUCAAAAUGUUCGAAUUUAAAAAAAUAGACAAUACAAAUAAUCAAUAAAAUUACAUUAAUAAUCAUAAGAUUCAGCAAAACAAACUAGCCAUAUCCUUUGACAUGAUAUUUGUUAUACAAUCAGCAUGAGAAAAUCUGACUCGAGAUCAACUCUCGGUUUGCUCCCUCAGCCUCCGAAUUGUGCUCCUGACUGUCACAGCACUGCAGUACUAUUACACAGCAAAGGAAGGAAAAACAGAGAAAACAUAAUUAGUUAAUUGCCAAGAGGAAAAAGAAAAAUGUAAACAUGUCAGUUUCAGUGAAUUUACUUCAAUGUGUAUGCUCCUCCUGCUUUAACUUUGCCACAAUCUUUGCAGCCCCAGAUUCCAACCGCCUUUCUCUUCACAGCGUACUGCGUGAUCAUCAACGUUUCAUUAGAACUAAACCGCAUCCUAUAGAACAAACUUCAAAUUUUGAUAGCCAAACUGUCUUCCAAAUUAAUCAACACGUAUCAACAAGAAAAGCCAAACCUUUCCACAAAAUUCACACAAGUAUUUGCUAUGCUGGCUAACCUCCAUCUUCUUAAUCUGCUUCCGCAGACUGGCACCAUAGCGUGUACCUGAAUAUUAAAAAAGCUGUCAGCAAUUACAUAAAAUUUAAACUCGAACCUGCACCUAUAAAUUCAGCACACAAAUACAGGCUAUCGUAAGAGAGCUGAAGUUGUAUCAAAAUGCAACGGUCAACCACAACCAGAAUGAACAUCAGUUCAAAAACACAGAGUCAAAGCAACUUAAGAAAAUAACUGUAAAUGAUUAAUGGAACGUCAAGCCACCAUAUUCAUUGAAUAGAAAAAGAAUCUACCGACCAUUUUGAACAGCAUAAAUUGAUAUAUUGAUUAUAUUAAAAAUUACACUGGCUAUUUCUCGUCAACAUGUUCCUAAUUACCAAAUUUUGAAGUUAGAUGCAGAGUCUUCUCAUCAAACAAGUGAGACUACUCUUGCAGCAUGCCAUUUAUACCCUCAUUCAUUACACGCUAUAUGACAUCCUGUAAGUCUAUUAUCAUCCGCAUGAAAAUGCAAACUUAAAAAACCACAAUCCACUGUGAGAAAUCACAAGAUUAGAUAAUUGCGGAGGACAGGAGCUAAACUCACCAUACUUUCCAACAAUUCCAGCCUUCUUUGUCCUCUUCGUCUGCACCAGAGAUAAUGCAUUUCCACAAUUAUAAAUCCUCUCAGAGUUAUGAACAAUUACUCCUCUAUCCACAAUGAGUUGAAGAACCCAACAAGUAAAUACAGCAGAAAACGCAUACAUGGAAAAGAAAUUCUUAAUUUCUCAGCAUCCUUUGAAAACCAGUUAGACACAGAAAUCUUGGAAUUGCAAGCAGAAUACUAGUUCAUAAGAAUUUUCCACAAGGGCAUCAGAUAGCCGAAAAGAAGCUUUCCUUGCUCAGUAAACCAAAAGCAAACCAAAUAAUUUCAUGCCAUCCCCAAGAAACCAAAUUAAACUUAGAUAUUAAAAUGUCCUUCGACAAUUCAAGGGAAGGCCAAAGCUCGAAUAUCGCAACCUUUGCCAACCUAUAUAGUCAAAAUUAAGCAUCAUGCUGUUUGUUUAUUGCGAACCUUAAAAUACCUAAAUCUCCGUCUUUAUUUCAUACUACAUAUCCCAGGUAUCCACUUCACAAAACCUUUCCUCUUCAAAAAUCAGUUGAAUUUACAUGCCAUAGCUGCCAAACAAAAUAUAUCAUCUACGGAAAAACUACAUUUUCACCACAAAUUACAAGCUACAACAGGAUUACGUCA
rnacentral:lncRNA from 1 species